UAACAACCAAGAAAAAGUUGAAGUGCUUCAUCUUCUCAGUUCAAUAAUCAAUUGGUGAAGUUGGAUUAUAAUUGCUCUCCAUGUCUGUUGAACGAACUUUCAAGAAGCUAGUUUCUGGUGUCAUCCUUGAUUUGGAUGGUACACUUCUUAAUACAGAUGGCAUUGUGAGUGAGAUUUUAAAGGUUUUCUUAGUUAAGUAUGGAAAGCAAUGGGAUGGGAGAGAAGCUCCCCACAUAGUAGGGAAAACCCCAACAGAAGCUGCUGCUGCCGUUGUUGAAGAUUAUGGGCUGCCACUGUCAAGAGAUGAAUUUCUUUCGCAAUUUUACCCAAUGCUGUCUGAUCAGUGGCGCAAUAUCAAAGCUCUUCCAGGGGCCAAUCGAUUGAUUAACCAUUUGAGCGGUCAUGGUGUACCCAUGGCAUUGGCGUCAAAUUCUUCUAAAUCUAACAUUGAGGCCAAAAUUUUUCAUCAUGCAGGAUGGAAAGAGUCCUUCUCAGCUAUUGUUGGAGGAGAUGAAGUGAAAGCUGGAAAGCCGUCUCCGGAAAUAUUUCUUGAAGCAGCUAAAAGACUCAACAUGGAUCCAUCCAGCUUUCUUGUCAUUGAAGAUUCAAUACCAGGUGUUACUGCUGGUAAAGAUGCUGGAAUGGCAGUAGUUGCUGUACCAUCUCUUGCAAAGCAGUCUCAUCUUUAUACCUCUGCUGAUGAAGUGAUCAAUUCUCUUCUAGAUUUGCAACUAGAAAAGUGGGGACUACCUGCAUUUCAAGAUAGGAUAGAAGGUACUUUGCCUUUAGAACCUUGGUAUAUAGGUGGUCCUGUCAUUAAGGGAUUUGGGCGCGGCUCAAAGGUUCUCGGGAUCCCCACAGCUAAUUUAUCCCCACAAGGUUAUUCAGCCAUUCUUUCAGAACAUCCAGCGGGUGUAUAUUUUGGAUGGGCAGGACUAUCAGGUCGAGGUGUCUACAAGAUGGUCAUGAGCAUUGGUUGGAAUCCUUUCUUCAACAAUACAGAGAAGACGGUUGAACCAUGGUUGCUUCAUGACUUCAAUGAGGACUUCUAUGGUGAGGAAUUGCAUCUAGUUGUUGUGGGCUACAUACGGCCGGAGGCCAACUUUUCGUCACUUGAAGCCUUGAUAGCAAAAAUUCACGAGGACAGGAAGAUUGCAGAAAGAGCUCUCGAACUUCCUCAAUACUUGAAGUACAAGGACGAUCCAUACCUUAAAAGUUCUCUGCAUCAACAAAAUUGAUCAUUGAAGUGUUGAAGUUCAUUAUUGUUCUGAUUGGGAUUGUAUCUGUUUAUUCUGUCCUAAUUCCUCAGACUACAAUAGUCUCCCCAUCAAAAUGCUCUAUACAAUAAAAAGAUAAAAAGAAUUUGAAUGUAUAGCUAUUCAGAAGUUAAAGAACCUUCCAGGGGGUAUUAGUGAAUGGCAAAGGGUUCAAGUGCAGGAUCUUUGUACUGAGAAUUUCAAGUUCCUGUGUAAAUGUUGAUUAAUGUAACUUGUUUUCUAUCUGUUUAUAAUAUGGAAACAUGCAAGCUGA
rnacentral:misc_RNA from 1 species